rnacentral:pre_miRNA from 7 species
UUUUAGUUAGAUGUUACUCUAGUGGGUCUUAUUGAAAGACCCCCGAAGGGAGACCCUCACUCAAGCCUCGGGACAGCCGCGGACCCAAGAAGACACUGAGACCA